rnacentral:rRNA from 1 species
UACGUAGGGUGCGAGCGUUAAUCGGAAUUACUGGGCGUAAAGGGUGCGUAGGCGGCGCGGUAAGUCGGGUGUGAAAUCUCGGGGCUUAACUCCGAAACUGCAUUCGAUACUGCCGUGCUUGAGGACUGGAGAGGAGACUGGAAUUUACGGUGUAGCGGUGAAAUGCGUAGAUAUCGUAAGGAAGACCAGUGGCGAAGGCGGGUCUCUGGACAGUUCCUGACGCUGAGGCACGAAGGCCAGGGGAGCAAACGGG